GAUGAACGCUGGCGGCGUGCCUAAUACAUGCAAGUCGAGCGAACGGACGAGAAGCUUGCUUCUCUGAUGUUAGCGGCGGACGGGUGGGUAACACGUGGAUAACCUCCCUAUAAGACUGGGAUAACUUCGGGAAACCGGAGCUACUACCGGAUAAUAUUUUGAACCGCAUGGUUCAAAAGUGAAAGACGGUCUUUCUGUCACUUAUAGAUGGAUCCGCGCUGCAUUAGCUAGUUGGUAAGGUAACGGCUUACCAAGGCGACGAUGCAUAGCCGGCCUGAGAGGGUGAUCGGCCACACUGGAACGGAGACACGGUCCAGACGCCUACGGGAGGCAGCAGUAGGGAAUCUUCCGCAAUGGGCGAAAGCCUGACGGAGCAACGCCGCGUGAGUGAUGAAGGUCUUCGGAUCGUAAAACUCUGUUAUUAGGGAAGAACAUAUGUGUAAGUAACUGUGCACAUCUUGACGGUACCUAAUCAGAAAGCCACGGCUAACUACGUG
rnacentral:rRNA from 1 species